GUCAGACCUGACCCAUUCAGUUCAGUUCAGUUUAUUCUUUGUCCCAGAAGGGCAAUUUGUAUGCAGCAGGAAGACAUCACAUGAAAAUAUACACCACAAACCACACAACAAUUAACUUAC